GGGUUUUGGGGAGGCUCUGGGGGGGCUCUGGGGCUCCAUGGCUGUGCCCCCCCAGCCCCCCGGGGACAAACUGGGGGUGCAGGUGCAGAAGAUUUUUGGGGGGAGCCGCGGCCCCGGCAGCACCCUGCAGACGUCCCCGCUGGACCUGGCCAUGCUGGCCCCCUACAUCCCCAUGGACGGCGACUUCCAGCUGGGCGGGGCCGAGCCGCACAGGGGGCGUGGCCUGCGCCCCACAGGCCCCGCCCCCAAGGCCGAGGCCACGCCCCCCAGGCCCCGCGCCCGCAGCUUCCCGGGGCGAGGCCCCGCCCCCUCCCGGCCUGGCCACGCCCUCCCGCGCUGGGGCAGCGACCCCGCCCUCGGCCACGCCCCUCGGCCACGCCCCGCUAGGAAGAGGCCGCGGGAGCCAAGCGAGGAGGACCCCGGGGCCCCCCUGAAACGUCCCGAGCUCGACCCCCAAUUGCUGCCCCCCCUCGGGCUGGGGCUGCUGCUGAGUGGGGACCCCCCAGGACUGAGACCCCCCCUGGGGCAGGAGCAGCCCCUCGCGCUGCUGGCUGAUGGUCUGACCCUUCCGGGGGCCCCCCCGCGCCCCCCCCUGAGGGUCCCCCAAAACCUCGAGGAGAGCAAUUGAGGGGGGGGGCACGCUGGGAAGGACCCCCCCCCCCCCAAAAAAUAAACCAGCAACGACCCCCCCCUCGGAUGGGAACCCCAAAAUUGGGGGAGGGGGCGACCCCCCCCCCUCCCCAAAUCCACAUCUUUGGGGGGCUGCACCAAAAGCCAUGACCUGACCCCCCCUCCCCUUUUAUUCCCCCCUCCCCAAUUUAGGACACCCCCCUCCCCC
rnacentral:lncRNA from 1 species